rnacentral:rRNA from 1 species
ACGAACGCUGGCGGCGUGCUUAACACAUGCCAGUCGAACGGAAAGGCCCUGCUUGCAGGGUACUCGAGUGGCGAACGGGUGAGUAACACGUGGGUGAUCUGCCCUGCACUUCGGGAUAAGCCUGGGAAACUGGGUCUAAUACCGGAUAGGAGCCAUUUUUAGUGUGAUGGUUGGAAAGUUUUUUCGGUGUAGGAUGAGCUCGCGGCCUAUCAGCUUGUUGGUGGGGUAAUGGCCUACCAAGGCGGCGACGGGUAGCCGGCCUGGGAGGGUGGACGGCCACAUUGGGACUGAGAUACGGCCCAGACUCCUACGGGAGGCAGCAGUGGGGAAUAUUGCACAAUGGGCGCAAGCCUGAUGCAGCGACGCCGCGUGGGGGAUGACGGCCUUCGGGUUGUAAACUCCUUUCGCUAGGGACGAAGCUUUUUGUGACGGUACCUAGAUAAGAAGCACCGGCUAACUACGUG